GUUAGGGUGGCAGAGCCAGGUAUAAUGCAAAAAGCCUAAGACUUUUACCCCAGAUGUUCAAAUCGUCUCCCCAACA
rnacentral:tRNA from 1 species